ACGGGAGGCAGCAGUGGGGAAUAUUGGGCAAUGGGCGCAAGCCUGACCCAGCAAUGCCGCGUGAAGGAAGAAGGCUUUCGGGUUGUAAACUUCUUUUAAGUGGGACGAUAAUGACGGUACCACUUGAAUAAGCUCCGGCUAACUACGUGCCAGCAGCCGCGGUAAUACGUAGGGAGCAAGCGUUAUCCGGAUUUACUGGGUGUAAAGGGCGUGUAGGCGGGACAGCAAGUCAGAUGUGAAAGCACGGGGCUCAACUUCGUGUCUGCAUUUGAAACUGCUGUUCUUGAGUGCUGGAGAGGCUAACGGAACUCCUAGUGUAGCGGUGAAAUGCGUAGAUAUUAGGAAGAACGCCAGUGGCGAAGGCGGUUAGCUGGACAGUAACUGACGCUGAGGCGCGAAAGCGUGGGUAGCAAACAGGGUUUGAUUCCCUGGUA
rnacentral:rRNA from 1 species